rnacentral:rRNA from 1 species
ACGUAGGGAGCAAGCGUUGUCCGGAUUUACUGGGUGUAAAGGGCGCGCAGGCGGGUCAAUAAGUCAGAGGUGAAAUCCUACAGCUCAACUGUAGAACUGCCUUUGAUACUGCUGAUCUUGAGUAUGGAAGAGAGAGACGGAAUUCCAGGUGUAGUGGUGAAAUACGUAGAUAUCUGGAAGAACACCAGUUGCGAAGGCGGUCUCUUGGUCCAAUACUGACGCUGAGGCGCGAAAGCGUGGGUAGCAAACAGG